rnacentral:rRNA from 1 species
AUUGAACGCUGGCGGCAGGCCUAACACAUGCAAGUCGAGCGGAUGAAGGGAGCUUGCUCCUGGAUUCAGCGGCGGACGGGUGAGUAAUGCCUAGGAAUCUGCCUGGUAGUGGGGGAUAACGUCCGGAAACGGGCGCUAAUACCGCAUACGUCCUGAGGGAGAAAGUGGGGGAUCUUCGGACCUCACGCUAUCAGAUGAGCCUAGGUCGGAUUAGCUAGUUGGUGGGGUAAAGGCCUACCAAGGCGACGAUCCGUAACUGGCCUGAGAGGAUGAUCAGUCACACUGGAACUGAGACACGGUCCAGACUCCUACGGGAGGCAGCAGUGGGGAAUAGUGGACAGUGGGCGAAAGCCUGAUCCAGCCAUGCCGCGUGUGUGAAGAAGGUCUUCGGAUUGUAAAGCACUUUAAGUUGGGAGGAAGGGCAGUAAGUUAAUACCUUGCUGUUUUGACGGUACCGACAGAAUAAGCACCGGCUAACUUCGUG